rnacentral:rRNA from 1 species
UUCCGGUUGAUCCUGCCGGAAGCUACUGCUAUUGGGAUUCGAUUAAGCCAUGCAAGUCGAAUGAAUUCAUAUUCAUGGCAUACGGCUCAGUAACACGUGGAUAACUUACCCUUAGGACUGGGGUAACUUUGGGAAACUGAAGAUAAUACCGGAUAUUAAGCUAUGCCUGCAAUGGUUUGCUUAUGAAACGUUUUUCGCCUAAGGAUAGAUCUGCGGCUGAUUAGGUCGUUGGUGGGGUAAAGACCCACCAAGCCGAUGAUCGGUACGGGUUGUGAGAGCAAGAGCCCGGAGAUGGAACCUGAGACAAGGUUCCAGACCCUACGGGGUGCAGCAGGCGCGAAACCUCCACAAUGUACGAAAGUGCGAUGGGGGGAUCCCAAGUGCUAUUCUUAACAGAAUAGCUUUUCAUUAGUGUAAAAAGCUUUUAGAAUAAGAGCUGGGCAAGACCGGUGCCAGCCGCCGCGGUAAUACCGGCAGCUCAAGUGGUAGCUGUUUUUAUUGGGCCUAAAGCGUUCGUAGCCGGUUUAAUAAGUCUUUGGUGAAAGCUUGUAGCUUAACUAUAAGAAUUGCUGGAGAUACUAUUAGACUUGAAGUCGGGAGAGGUUAGAGGUACUACCGGGGUAGGGGUGAAAUCCUAUAAUCCUGGGAGGACCACCUGUGGCGAAGGCGUCUAACUAGAACGAUCUUGACGGUGAGUAACGAAAGCCAGGGGCGCGAACCGGAUUAGAUACCCGGGUAGUCCUGGCCGUAAACGAUGUGGACUUGGUGUUGGAAUGGCUUCGAGUUGUUCCAGUGCCGAAGGGAAGCUGUUAAGUCCACCGCCUGGGAAGUACGGUCGCAAGACGAAACUUAAAGGAAUUGGCGGG